UCUUAAACCAUCGCUGAUCCACAGUGAAACUACCCAGAGAUCUCCCAGUAGCUGCUGGUCUUCAUGUCUCCAUCUCAAAUAAAGAGCAACAAGAAGAAUAGGAGGAUUGUGAGUUAUUCAAAAGCAUUUUAAGAACAAGUCUGUGGCAGAAGCAACGUUCUGGCACCAUCUACUGGAAAAGCAGUCACACUGCUCUUUCAUCAUCCAUCGCAAUCCCUUAAAACAUGGCAUCUUUUACUGAUGUUUGGAAAACCACCUCUGGAUUUUUCUUCUCCAUUGCUGAAACUGUCAAUGUCAAUGAAACUGUCUCCAGUACUGAAACAGGAGUAGCAAAACUAGAUCUGAUGCCUGAUUAGUUGGUAGAUUUAGCCGCUUUAGAAAUGUAAUUUUAUAUAGUAUUAUCGCACUGCACUAUUUUUAAAAUUAUUAUUCUGUUGGAUGUGGGGCAACAACUGAAAAUAAACAUUUAGUAGUUUAGAUCA